rnacentral:rRNA from 1 species
AGUGAACGCUGGCGGUAGGCCUAACACAUGCAAGUCGAACGGCAGCACAGUAAUAGCUUGCUAUUACGGGGGGCGAGGGGUGGAUGGGUGAGGAAUAAACUGGAAUCUACUUUGGCGUGGGGGAGGACGAAGGGAAACAUACGCGAAUAGGGCAUACGACCUACGGGAGAGUGCAGAGGAUCUUCGGACGUUGGGCGAGUGAGUGAGCCGAUGUCGGGUUGGCUGGGUGGCGGGGUACAGGCCCGGCGAGGGGACGAUCCGUAGCUGGUCUGAGAGGAUGAUCAGCCACACUGGGACUGAGCCACGGUCCAGACUCCUACGGGAGGCAGCAGUGGCGACUAUUGGACAAUGGGCGCAAUCCUGCUCCAGCCGUACCGCGUGGGUGCAGCAGGCCUUCGGGUUGUAAAGCCCUUUUGUUGGGAAAGAAAAGCAGCAGGUUAAUCCCCCGCUGUUCUGACGGUACCCAAAGAAUAAGCACCGGCUAACUUCGUG